rnacentral:rRNA from 1 species
AGUGAACGCUGGCGGCGUGCCUAAUACAUGCAAGUCGAACGGAGAUUAAGUAGCUUGCUAUUUAUUCUUAGUGGCGCACGGGUGAGUAAUAUAUAGCUAACUUGCCCAUUACUAAGGGACAACAGUUGGAAACGACUGCUAAUACCUUAUACUCCGUAUCUAUAUAAGUAGAUAUUGGAAAGUUUUUCGGUAAUAGAUAGGGCUAUAGCGUAUCAGCUAGUUGGUAAGGUAAUGGCUGACCAAGGCUAUGACGCGUAACUGGUCUGAGAGGAUGAUCAGUCAAACUGGAACUGAGACACGGUCCAGAAUCCUUCGGGAGAGAGCGGUAGGGAAUAUUGCUCAAUGGGGGAAACCCUGAAGCAGCAACGCAUCGUGGAGGAUGACAAUUUUCGGAGCGUAGACUUCUUUUCUUAGGAAAGAGUUAUGACGGUACCCAAGGAAUAAGCACCGGCUAACUCCGUG